rnacentral:rRNA from 1 species
ACCCGCUGAACUUAAGCAUAUCACUAAGCGGAGGAAAAGAAAUUAACUAAGAUUGCCCCAGUAACGGCGAGUGAAGCGGCAAAAGGCCAAACUGUAAAUCUCUGUGUUUCACACAGCGAAUUGUAAUCUAAAGGAGGGAAGCUCACCUAGAACUGACGCAGAAGUGUCUUAGAACGGACCGCCAGAGAGGGUGACAGCCCCGUAUGUGGUGUCGGUUCUUAACGAGCUCCUUUCAAAGAGUCGGGUUGUUUUGAAUUGCAGCCCUAAGCUGGGAGAUAGACUUCUUCUAAGCCUAAAUAUUUAUGGGAAACCGAUAGCGAACAAGUACUGUGAAGGAAAGAUGAAAAGAACUUUGAAAAGAGAGUUAAAAGAUUUGAAAUCGUUGAGACGGAAGCGGUAGAAAUUUAUCCUACUGGUGGGAACAAAGGCAUGGUCCUAACCAUUGGCGUGUGCCAGCACUUAAUCGGCUGCUAGCGCCACAUGGGGAAGACCUAGCUGGGUUCCCACUGUGAGGCAAAAUGAGGUCUGGGGACUCCAAAAACUUGGCAGGGAUCGGCUGUUUACAGCUACCCUGCCUCUGUUGGGAGCCUCCAGGCCUGAGGAAGCUUUGUGCGAUUUUGCCAAAAUGGUUUU